rnacentral:lncRNA from 1 species
UUUGUUUUUCUAGGAUUUAGACUGUUCAAAACACUAGUCACGGCUCUCGAUCUCUCUUUCUCUCUUAUCAAAAACAAAAAAACUUUCAGAGAGUUUAGAGAUCGUAUCGAGAGUGAGAGCGUCUUGUUUUCUUUGGGUUCCGUCGCAGUCUUCUUCUGACGGAUCGCCUCCGGUAUACAGCGGUCCCCUCGACGUGUAUAGCUGGCUUUUGAUUCUGGCGUCGCACCUUCUUCUUCGGUGGACGGCCGGCUUUUGUCUCCGGCGUCCUCGCCCCUUCUCAGGUGAUUGGACGGCCGGCUUUAGAUUCCGCCUCGAUCUUUUCUCUAAUGUUGUUGUCGGUUCUUCACCGAGGUUUCUCGGUUCAAGUCGAUCAACGUUUCUUGUGGUUUCCCG